AAAGAAAGGAGAAAAGGAAUGAACUCCCAAGGGAAGAUCAGAAAGAGGAAAACGAAAUAGAGAGGUUAUGAGAGGAGUGAAUUGCAGUUUGAUUGCACCACAGAUUUCAUCUGAUUUUCCGGAACUUUGGACUUCUUUUUUUGCCACAUU
ensembl:ncRNA C06A8.14 ncRNA